UACGAAGGGGGCUAGCGUUGCUCGGAAUUACUGGGCGUAAAGGGAGCGUAGGCGGAUAGUUUAGUCAGAGGUGAAAUCCCGGGGCUCAACCUCGGAACUGCCUUUGAUACUGGCUAUCUUGAGUAUGGGAGAGGUGUGUGGAACUCCGAGUGUAGAGGUGAAAUUCGUAGAUAUUCGGAAGAACACCAGUGGCGAAGGCGGCUCACUGGACUGGUAUUGACGCUGAGGUGCGAAAGCGUGGGGAGCAAACAGG
rnacentral:rRNA from 1 species